GGUUCACGUCAGUCUAGAAGCAUGAGUCAUCUGAAUUAAAGAUGGACUCUGGACUCACCAUCGCUCACCGGCUCUAGAUGGCUUUGCCACAUGCGGAGAUUCUCUAAAUGCUUCUCUUGCUAACAAGCAGUUUGUGAUCUAUCCACGAGUUUCUGAUUACCUGUGAGCUGACGCAGAACGUCUUCGGUCUACACACGGUGUGAGGCGUGGACGGCAAAGACGUUGCUCCUGUCGAGUCAUUUAUGGCACAAUCAUUAAAAGGAGCCUAAUGAAAAGAUGUGCUGAACAACACUGCUAUCAAAUGCUUCCUGCACAGCAAUCCCCGCUCCGUCCUGAGCCCUCCGGAGCCAUCGCACUGAGUAAUUGAGACGCAGUGCAGACAACCAGCAAUGCUUUAGGGCAUGUUUCUACAUAUUUUCAGCUUCUUGUUAUUUCUUUUUUUGGGGCCUUAACAACUGUCUAGGAUUGUGAAGUUAAAAGGGGCGGUGUUAUGUAAAAUCUACUUUUUUUUUUUUUAAGCUUUACAUCAUGUUAUUAUAUUAUUCCCACAUCAAAA